ensembl:lncRNA
GUGCUGAGCCGUGCUGAGCCGUGCUGAGCCGUGCUGAGCCGUGCUGAGCCGUGCUGAGCCGUGCUGGGGAGGUUUGGGGCUGAGGGAGUGUUGUAGCGAGCGGGCGCCGUCAUGGCCGGCGGGAUCGUUAGGUCGCCGGCCGCCUGGCGCGGUGGCGCCGCUCUCUUGGGAAAAGUCGCCCGCCAGGAGUUCUCCGCCAACGUUAUCCGCGAGGAGGAGCCGUUGUGGACGAGGAGGUCGGUGGUAUUCACGUGUCGAAGGCGAUAACCUUUGCCUCGAUGUGGAAGUGUCUGACGUAGCGCCAGCCUCACCGUGCUAAUCCAAAGCGUUCUUUCACCGGAGUCCGCGGUGUUCUUGAGGAUGGAGAGUUAACACGGCCUCCGUCGGGAUAACCCCAGGUUCUUUGAAAAUGCCUUGGUCAAAAGUAGGAUAGGAAGGCGAUAUUUGGCCAUAACUGAAGGAUGUGCCUUGCGUUCCAUGAUAUUUCACCGCAAGCUCCUACGCUUUUUCCUAGCCGCUCCCCAGAAGGCCGUUGUCGGGUUAUCCGGAGCAGAAGAUUGUGGCGCACCUGUAAGUACCGUGGAAGCUUUCUGUACACGAAACGGUGCCAGUAAGUGGUAUGUAAUUUAGUAGGCUCUGUCCCGUCGCCUCGUUUCCUCUCGAUGUUGCAAAGAGGCACAGUAGGCUAUUUGGGCUUUCCCGACGCCAUAAUCUUUUGCCUCUAGCUUGUAACGGAGCUGAGCGUUUUGACUAAGGGUAGUGAGAGAGAGCGAUGCUCAUUUCUGGGUACGUACUUGAUGCAAAAUGCAGCGCUGUUCAGAAGUAUGGCCCUAUGCCUGUUCUCGCUGUUUCCAGACAGUGGUCCUUGCUCUAAUAUGGAGAAGAGGGCUUGGGGUUUUGAGCAGGUCGGAGGCGAGGAAGGGGAAAGCUGGCUGAGGGGUGCUGGAUGUCUCAUUUUCAGCUGUAGAAGUCAAGUCCCGUGGCUUUGGCGUGGGCUCACAAAGCCUACACUGAGUUUUUCUUUUCUGCCGGAAAGACUUAGGUUGCCCGAAGAUAUAAUGGGGGGCUGGAAGUCCGAGACAAAUCUGGCUUCUGUGCCCGAUUUGUAGUCCGUUACUGUCUAGCUGGGGGUGGGGAGGGGGUUAAAAACAAAAAAGGAAAAAAAAGGUGGCAAGUCCCAUAGCUGCCCCUCCCCCCAUUAUGCAUAAUCGGUCUUUGUAGCUUUGCUUGGAAUGUGUCAGUUGCAGAAAGGCAGUAAUUUGAAGAGCGGCCCUUGAAUGGCGAAGAACUAGUUAACCGCGUUCUGUGGCUGGUUCUCUGCUCGCCUUCCUUGGCUUCCUGCCCUCUCCACCCUUCAUUGUGUUGUGGCAUGCUCCGUUACGUAACGUUAUUUCCUUCUCCAGCUUCUUGGGCGUUUGAUGAUUGUUGGCGAGAAGUGUGCUGCUAGCCUGGGCUUGACCGAUGGAUUCCGGAUGGCUGUGAGAUACCCACCCUCAGUCCCUUCAGACUACCGCGCGCGGCUCUGUAUUCUGGGUGGCCGUCAGUUGGGCCAGCCUCCUGGCUAAGAUGUUUGCACCGCCGGUGUUGCUGCACGCGUACGGAUCGCCACCGAAUGGGUUUCACGUGUUGCCCGUCAGCCUAGCCACCGGUGACAUGUAAUUGUUUUUGGUGGGUGCCUAUGGAGGGUAAUGAAAAGCUUUGAGCAGCAUUUGCAGAAUAAAGAUGGAGCAUGGGGAUAUC